UUUCCUUUAGCUUAAGCGUAAAGCGUUAGUUUGAAGCACUGAAGUUAACUUUGUAGUUAGGGUGGU
rnacentral:tRNA from 3 species